CAUACACAGUGACACAAGCUUCUCCAGCACAUAGUCCACAAAAUCUUUUUUCUUUUUCUUUUUUUUUUACUUAUUUAUUUAUUUUUUGAGACAGGGUCUCGCACUGUUGCCCAUGCUAGAGUGUAGUGUUGGAAUCAUAGCUCACUGCAGACUUGAACUCAUGGAUUCAAGCAAUUUUCCUGCCUCAGCCUCCCAAACAGCUGGGACUACAGGUGUGUGCCACCAUGCCUGGCCAAUUUUUAAAUGUUUGGUAGAGACACGAAUCUUGCUAUGUUGCCCAGGCUCAGGAUAUCUUUUUAAAGUUUUUUCCUUUUAUCUUUUUUUGCAGGGGGAAGGCAGAGUCUCACUCUGUCACCCAGGUUAGAGUGCAGUGGGAGGAUCACAGAAGCCCAGGAAGUCAGCAGGGCAAUGAGCCAUAAUUGUGCCACAGCA
rnacentral:lncRNA from 1 species